UAUACUCGGUUGACAAUGAGUCCAGUGUCCAGUUUUGAUUGAGCGGCCACUCGGGAAGGAGUGUUCCGUUCGAUCUACAUAUUUUGAAAAAGUGCUUGACAAUCGGUAGCUACUGAAAGACCUAUAUCAUUGGAGCUUUCGUGAAUUCCGUAACUCGGAGAUUUUUCCAUCAGCACUGGUUUUCCGUCUUGGAUUCGACGGCAGUUCAGCUUCGGUGACAGGAGCGGCGACAUCAGGAGCGACAUCAGUAGCAAAGCAGGUUCCUCAGAGCGACGAUGGAGAGAGAGAACGAUGACCAUUGCGUGACGAAACCAAAUCAGGACAUCAACGAGUCUCUCCCAAGAUCGACUCCUCUUCAUCCCAUUCCGCUAGGGAUGAAUCUGCAAUACAUGAGACGUAGUACAACUCUUUUUUUUUGCGGAGGUAUGUUUCGUUUAAUGUAUCCCUUACUAGAGUCCCUAGUAUAUUUCAACAUUCAAAGUCUGCGUAUAUGAAUUGCACCCCCUUGAAGAAAAUUUUCAAAAUCGUCCUCAUAAAAUCAGAUCACCCAGCAUUACCCAAUAGACUUGGUAAAUUCAUACUCCCCUAUAAUAAAAUUCAUCAGACACGCCAAUGAGGCAAGACGAUAAUUUAUUAUCAUAUAACUUGAUACAAUCUAUUAUAAUUCGAACGUCUUAUACUUAUAUACUGAUCAUAAAAUAAGUCAUACAUUAGGUAAGUUGUGUAAUCAGUUUACUAAUCAUUUAUGUAUUAUUUAUGUUACAGGUCGCAGUUCCUCCAACGUCGUUGCCCGGACUCCCCCUGUUCAUCGGGGGGAGUCCAGGGACCCGUCCCCUGGGACAGCGCGGCCUCCCACCGCCCCCGGGGUCCCAGGGGACCCAGUCCCCGAGGACUUGU